AAAGAUCCUUCAAACAAAAGCUCAACAUCUGAGUCUAUUUACCGAGUGUGCAGCUGUGUCAAUUGGCCAAGACAAAGCGAAGGCUUCCUGGUCAGCCCACAAUGGGCGGCAGGUAGUCUUGCAAACAGAGAAACACAAGGCAGGGGCCUUUCACGAGUCAGCAAACCUCCUUCCAACAAGGAAGAGCUGGAGCAGAGGGGUCAGGAGGAUGGAGUGCCGCCCCACCCCCACUCUCACCAGCACACAAGUGGGACUGAAAGGUAUCCACGAGAGACCUAGAAUCGUCCAAGUCACAGAGACAGAAAGUCAAAUUCAUGGAGACCAAAGGGAGGAGGCAUGAGUUUCCUGGGCGCAGAGUUUCAGUCUGGGAAGAUGAAAGAAUUCUGGAGACGGAUGGUGGUGAUGGUUGUACAACAAUGUGAAUGUACUUCAUGCCACUGAACUCUAUACUUCAAAUGGCUAAAUCGGCAGAGUUGAGAACCACUGAAUUCUGUUCUGAAAACAUCAGCAAGACCUUUCAUGGAUAUUAUAGGCUUCAGGCUCGAGACAGAGAGGAACCGCCUCUGUGUUUUUCACUGUCGUGUCUCAGUGCUGGGAGUGUACUCCAUGUGGUCAGUGUGUGAUCAAUUUAACUGUGCCUGAGGGUUCUGAGAAGACCUCACAAAUGAAGGUGAGAGCUCCCGCAGGCAGCUUCUCCCCGGAGUCUGGCGUAAGUGUUCCUCCUCUGCACGCCUCUGAGGACAUUUGCAAAGGCAACUCCUGUGCAUCUGUAGGUACCAUUGUGAGGUUACUGCCCUGGACUGGGGAGAGAUCCACACACGCAAGAGUGCAUCUGGCAUCAGUAUGUAAGAGUCAAAACUGACACACAGUUCUUCAUCUCAUGGAAAUGAAAACAUGCAUGGCCGGAAUGAUCUUAUACCUGCUUCUCUUGGGCCAGGUCACCAGGCUGGCCCUGAGAAGUAUGUGAUGGCAUGGAGAAGAAUCCUCACACAUCCUUGCAGUUCUCUAGGAUUUGCAAGGCAUUCCCCCCAUUGCUGGACUCACUGGAUUUGAGUAGGCCUGUCUGCCCCUAUUUUAGAGAUGAGCAUAUACACCUUACAAAAACUGAGUCUUGCUCAAUGUCUGGCAAAGAAGUCUUCCUUUAUCCAACAAUCCUGAGAGUCUAGCGGGUGUUGGGCACCAUAAAGAUGAAUGAGGUGCGGUUCUUGCCACCAGGCAGUGCCCGGGCUUGUCAGGGAGACCCAUGUGGAGCAUGACAAUUGCUACCUUCUUGAUACGGGCAAAAGGAUGUUGAGUCCAGUGGAAGGAGAGGCUUGUCUGGCUGUGAGAUCAGCAAAGUCUUCACAGAAAAGGAGAAUUUUAAAUGGGGCCUUGAAGGGGAAGUGUCUCCUGGAGAUGGAGAGAACAUAGCGAGGAGAGUGCGGUGAGGUGGGGGGUGGCAGGGGAAGCACAUCACUACGCGGUGCUUAGGGCCGAGUCUGAGCCAACCUGGGAGUGGCACUCAGCUCCCCCAGGCCCCCGAGAUGCAUGUUCAGCAGCAUCCAGCGGCCUCCUGUGAAGCGACUGGGAGUCCACAGAGACAACAAAAGCAGAUGUAGUGAUGUGUAAACUUGAAGUUUCUAGAAGUUCCUUUGGGCCCCACCAAAUCUCUGUGGCAAUGAACCAAUCCCACAUGUUCCUGUGGGUAAUGCUCCCAGAGGGCAUGUGACUUUGGGCAUCAUUAUUGGCUGAAAAAGGAAACUGGGGUAGUAGUUAGAGAGUGCUAUGAACUGAAUGUUGUGUGCCUCCCAAAUCUGUACACUGAACUCCAAAUCCCACUGUGGUGGUAUUAGGUGAGGGGGCCUUGGGAGGUCAUUAGGUCCUGAGGGUAAAUCCCUCAUGAAUGGGAUGAGUGCCCUCACACAUGAGACCCCAGAGAGCUCUCUGGCGGUCUUUCUACCAUGUAUGGCUGCAAUGAGAGGUCUGCAGCCUGCACCUGGAAGGAGGCCCUCAAUGAACCUGACCAGACUAGCAUCCUGUUCUCAGACUUCUGGCCUCCCAAACUGUGAGAAACAAGUUUCUGUUGUGUAUAAACCAUCCAAUCUAUGAUAGUUUGUUAUAGUAGCCAAACCGACUAGGACAGAGAGGAUGUAAGGAGCCAGUGGAGGACUCUUUUAAUGGAGAGACUACAGCAUGUCUCAGGCUGAAUGGUCCAGUAGGGAGAGCAAAAACAGUGCCCAUGCAUCACCCUGAGGUCUCACCCAACCCUGCUGGAACUGACUUUAGUGCCCUCUUCCAGUGUUCCCCGCAUGACCUGGUGGGUGCACACCUGGCUGCUUGCAUUCACACCGUCCCUCUCCACUUCUUCCUUCUCCCCAGCUCUCUUCCUGUCAACCCUGGCAUUGCCUUUGUUGGCUACUGAGAGAAGACCAGAAAUAUCCAUCUAGUCAGACUUGCCUGCUCCUGGGAAGAAAACAAAAAUGCAAAGAAAAGGUUCUCAGGGAGAUUGAGCCAACCUGGGAGUGGCCCUCAGCUCCUCCAGUCCCCAGAGACCCAUGCUCUGCAGCAUCCAAGGGGCUCCUGUGAAACUGUUGGGAGGCCAAUGACACUCUGUCCCACGUUGUGGAUCUAUUUUGUGGUCUCUGUAUCCUUCACUGCUUUUUGUGGACAUUAUUGUAUUAGAUUCCUUUGGAAAUGAUGAUCCAGCUAAUGGCCAGUUAGUAGGAAACAUCACGACCCUCCCCCCAAAUUCCAGCCUCUUGCUGAAAGGGUGGGGCCUGGGAAAUCAUAUGGUAUUGCUCCUGGUCACCACAGACCAGUGGUGGCUUUGGGCCAAAUUCUGGCCCAGCCAAUCCCCCCCACCUUUUUUUUUUUUUGAGAGAGAGAAUUUGAGGUAAGAGACACAGAGACUCAGGUUAGGAGGAUGCUUGAACUGAAAGGUCCUGAGACAGCAGGACAGGAGCUAGUACCAUGCAGAACACAGCAGGAGCCACAGGCAAGCCUGAACUGUGGGAGAGAGAAAACGAAGGGCCUUCCAGAGAGGUCCAGUCUGCCAAGAGGAGAAGAGAGUUGACACGCAGAAAGAGUUAGGGGUGACAAGAACCCCCGUAGCCCCUUGAAGGACACAGAGAGGAGAUCUUUUUUGUUCUUUUGUGAUUCAUCCUUUCUCACUUCCUGUCCUUGGAGGUCAACAACAGACCCCUGUAUCCUUUUAAUAAUCCCUCUUUUCAUUUGAAAUUGUUCCAGAGGGUACCUGAUCCUUGUUGCCAGCAUGCCCUGAAUAAGAAAAAUGCUCAAACCAAACACUGAGUCUACUGAGUCUAUGUGAAUUAAUUCUUGGAAUUCCUUGGCUCAAUUCAAUAAACAUUUCAUGCACAAUUUUUGUGUGCCAGGUGCUAGAGGCAUUCUGAGAAAAACUGAGACCCAGGAGCUGUCCUCAGAGAGUCCAGUAAGAUGUGGUCUGAUAAGACAUGUUUCCAUAUACCCAGAAUACAAGGUAGUUUGCUAGGAGCACUGCAAGAGAAACGCAGAUGGAAGGCUGGAGUGUGUACUGCCACUGUGGAAGCAGGAGGGGCUUGAGGGAAGAGGGCCUUCAAGAAUGGGUGGAAUCUAAUAUUGGAAAGGGGAGGAAGAGUGGAAAGUAUAAGAAUCAGAAGUCUGGUUGCAGGAUGGGGCAUGAUAUGGGUGGGACACUGUAAACUGCACAGCGUGGAAGGAAUAUGGAGUUUAGAGGAAUAAUGUUAGAUGAGUCUGUAAGACGGGCUUGACUGGGAUUAUGAAGGGCCUUAAAGGUCAAGCCAAAUUUGUUAUCAUAGAAUCAUAAGAAGGAGAAGAGCCUUAGCUGUUGUCUAGUCUAACUUAGGUAAUUUGGUUCCAGUUCCUCUUAAGGUGGCCACCAUGACAGACUGAAUCUCAAGUACUCAUCUGAGAUACAGUCAUUUCAAUGGUAGUGACUCAGAAUUUACUUUUCUUUUUUUUUACCCCAGCAAAAUAUUUAUUUUAGAAAAUAGGAUUAUAUUAUUUGUUGCUCUCCAACUUGCUUUUUUUGGACAUCUUGGACAUCUUUCUCUACCAGUACAUAUAGUUCCAUUUCCUUCUUUUUAUUUUAUUUACUUUAUUAUUUUUGUAGAGAUGAGGUCUUGCCAUGUUGCCUAGGCUGGUCUGGAACUCCUGGGCUCAAGAGAUCCACUCACCUUGGCCUCCCAAAGUGCUAGGAUUACAGGCGUGAGCCACUGCAGAUAUUUUUAUUUUUUAUUUUCAUUUAUUUCAAUAGUUUUUGGGGAGCACGUGGUUAUUUGAUUACAUGGAUAAGUUCUUUAGUGGUGAUUACCGAGAUUUUGGUGCACCCAUCACCCAAGCAGUGUACACUGUACCCAAUGAGUAGUCUUUUAUCCCUCGUCCUCCUUCCCCGCUCCCCUCACGUCCCCAAAGUACAUUGUAUCUUAUGCCUUUGCAUCCUCAUGAGAUUACUUUUCUAUCUUUAACAACUUAAGAGUUCUUUCCAGAAGAGUCCUCUUACUACGAGGAAGAGUGUUAGAGCACAGGGAACUGGGCCUAGAGAGUCUGCAGCAAAUUGUCUCAAAUAGCAGCUUAAAAAGGUGAGAAAACAGGAGCUGUAGGGAGGAGUCGGACAGGUCCCCAGGCCCAGCAACUAUACCAGGUGAGGCAGGAAUGUGGCCUCGUGUUGACCAGAUUCCACAGCCACGGGCUUCCAUCCCUCUUCUCUGCUUGCUUUAAGACUAACCACCCUGGCUUCAA
rnacentral:lncRNA from 10 species